GUGGGGAAUUUUGGACAAUGGGGGCAACCCUGAUCCAGCAAUGCCGCGUGCAGGAAGAAGGCCUUCGGGUUGUAAACUGCUUUUGUACGGAACGAAAAGGCUCUGGUUAAUACCUGGGGCACAUGACGGUACCGUAAGAAUAAGCACCGGCUAACUACGUGCCAGCAGCCGCGGUAAUACGUAGGGUGCAAGCGUUAAUCGGAAUUACUGGGCGUAAAGCGUGCGCAGGCGGUGCUGUAAGACAGGCGUGAAAUCCCCGGGCUUAACCUGGGAAUGGCGCUUGUGACUGCAGUGCUGGAGUGUGGCAGAGGGGGAUGGAAUUCCGCGUGUAGCAGUGAAAUGCGUAGAUAUGCGGAGGAACACCGAUGGCGAAGGCAAUCCCCUGGGCCUGCACUGACACUGAGGCUCGAAAGCGUGGGUAGCAAACAGGAUUAGAAACCCUGGUAGUCC
rnacentral:rRNA from 1 species